AGGAGAAGUCCAUGCUGAUAUUUCCCCCGAGCCUCCCUGGAGGGAAGCUGGGUCCUCAGAGGAACCACUGGAGACCCCCCCCCCACGGCGUUGACACUCCUUUCUGGCUUAUUUGGGGUCUUUUGGAGACAAAGUCUCACUCUGUACUCCAGUAUGGUCUGAAAUUCAUUCAUGGCAAUGCUCUUGCCUCAGCUUCCUGAGGAUUCCUAGGAUUACAGACAUCUGUGGCAUUCUGGGCAUGUCCUGCUCAUGGUUGUGGCCCAAGUGUAAUUUGUG
rnacentral:lncRNA from 1 species